rnacentral:rRNA from 1 species
AUGGCUUCAUCCGGUUCCUUGACGAGGCCGCCGUGUGCUGACCGUGAAGACAUGCCGAACAAGUGGGAGAACGCCAAUUUGGACGAGAUGAAGGAAAAAGAUAUGAAAACCCCAUCAUGUUGGUGUGGAGAUGUUAGCAAGGUGAAGGUGUCCACCGACCGCAAGAAGUCAAGGACGGAAGGGAGAAGAUUUUGUGUGUGUCCCAACUAUGCACAUGACCGGGCGCUUCCAACAAACGCCUAUGACGUACCACCGUUAUGGUCAAAGAGUAAUCUCAAAUUUUGUCCAACUUCAACUCAUAAUCCUAACAACAAAUUUGUUUAUCCUAUGCAGUCACCGCCUCCUCUUUGCAAGUACUUCACAUGGAUAGAUCAAGAUGUUCUAGAGGAUGUUAAAAAGGACCAAUAUCAAGAUUGUCUUAGGAGGCAACGGCUGUACGAAGAAGCAUUCCAAAGAGGCUUGGAUGAAGAGCGUCGUCAGAAGGAGAAGAUGGAAUGA